ACGUAGGUGGCAAGCGUUGUCCGGAAUUACUGGGCGUAAAGGAUGCGUAGGCGGAUAUAUAAGUCAGAUGUGAAAUACCCGGGCUCAACUUGGGUGCUGCAUUUGAAACUGUAUGUCUGGAGUGCAGAAGAGGAGAGUGGAAUUCCAUGUGUAGCGGUGAAAUGCGUAGAGAUCUGGAGGAAUACCGGUGGCGAAGGCGGCCCCCUGGACAAAGACUGACGCUCAGGUGCGAAAGCGUGGGUAGCAAACA
rnacentral:rRNA from 1 species